rnacentral:rRNA from 1 species
CAGUAGCCGCGGUAAUACGGAGGGUGCAAGCGUUAAUCGGAAUUACUGGGCGUAAAGCGCACGCAGGCGGUUUGUUAAGUCAGAUGUGAAAUCCCCGGGCUCAACCUGGGAACUGCAUUUGAAACUGGCAAGCUAGAGUCUCGUAGAGGGGGGUAGAAUUCCAGGUGUAGCGGUGAAAUGCGUAGAGAUCUGGAGGAAUACCGGUGGCGAAGGCGGCCCCCUGGACAAAGACUGACGCUCAGGUGCGAAAGCGUGGGGAGCAAACAGGAUUAGAUACCCCAGUAGUCCCUGUCUCUUAUAC